UCUCCAGGGCCGGAGUCGUUGCUGCUCUGCUCCUCUGCCUGCCUGCUUGCCUUCACUCACACACAGCGCAUGCGUUCUCACUCCGCUCCACCUCUCACGUGCAUGCGCGCACACUACACAGAAGACUGGGGUCUGAAGCAGGACAACACAGUAUCAGCAUCGAUUCAUGGAGAGACCUUCGUCUGGUCAGCUAACAUU